CUCCCCGGGGGCGCCGUGGAGCGCCUCCUGCGCCUGAAGCGCGGCGAGCUGCCCGUCGCCAUGGGCCGGACGAUCGUCCGCCUCGGGGACG
rnacentral:tRNA from 1 species